UACGUAGGGCGCAAGCGUUAUCCGGAAUUACUGGGCGUAAAGCGUGCGCAGGCGGUUCGUUGUGUCGGCGGUGAAAGCCCCGGGCUCAACCUGGGAAUGGCCGUUGAAACUGGCGAACUGGAGUGUGGCAGAGGGGGGUAGAAUUCCACGUGUAGCAGUGAAAUGCGUAGAGAUGUGGAGGAACACCGAUGGCGAAGGCAGCCCCCUGGGUCAAGAUUGACGCUCAUGCACGAAAGCGUGGGGAGCAAACAGG
rnacentral:rRNA from 1 species